AACGAACGCUGGCGGCGUGCCUAACACAUGCAAGUCGAACGGAGAUAAGGGGCUUGCUCCUUAUUUUAGUGGCGCACGGGUGAGUAACGCGUAGAUAAUCUGCCUGAUGAUCUGGGAUAACAGUUCGAAAGGACUGCUAAUACCGGAUAAGCCCACGGGGUCUUUGGACUCUGCGGGAAAAGGGGGGGACCUUCGGGCCUUCUGUCAUCAGAUGAGUCUGCGUACCAUUAGCUAGUUGGUAGGGUAAUGGCCUACCAAGGCUACGAUGGUUAGCUGGGCUGAGAGGAUGAUCAGCCAAACUGGAACUGAGACACGGUCCAGACGCCGACGGGAGGCAGCAGUGGGGAAUUUUGCGCAAUGGGCGAAAGCCUGACGCAGCAACGCCGCGUGAGUGAUGAAGGCUUUCGGGUCGUAAAGCUCUGUCAGAGGGAAAGAAGUGUAUUGUGGCUAAUAUCCACGAUACUUGACGGUACCCUCAAAGGAAGCACCGGCUAACUCCGUGCCAGCAGCCGCCGUAAGAC
rnacentral:rRNA from 1 species